AGCAGCCGCGGUAAUUCCAGCUCCAAUAGCGUAUAUUAAAGUUGUUGCAGUUAAAAGCUCGUAGUUGAAUUUCGGGAUCAGCAGGUUGGUCGUGCCUACGGUAUGAACUGGCCUUGCUGAUUCCUCCCUCUUGAUGAGCCGUAAUGCCAUUAAUUUGGUGUUGCGGGGAAUCAGGACUGUUACUUUGAAAAAUUAGGGUGUUUAAGCAGGCAAGCGCUUGAAUACAUUAGCAUGGAAUAAUGAAAUAGGACGUUUGAUCCUAUUUUGUUGGUUUCUAGGAUUGACGUAAUGAUUAAUAGGGAUAGUUGGGGGCAUUAGUAUUCAAUUGUCAGAGGUGAAAUUCUUGGAUUUAUUGAAGACUAACUACUGCGAAAGCAUUUGCCAGGAUGUUUUCAUUAAUCAAGAACGAAAGUUAGGGGAUCGAAGACGAUCAGAUACCGUCGUAGUCUUAACCAUAAAACUAUGCCGACUAGGGAUCGGAUGAUGUUAAUUUUUUUAAUGACUCAUUCGGCGCCUUACG
rnacentral:rRNA from 1 species